rnacentral:rRNA from 1 species
GACGAACGCUGGCGGCGUGCUUAACACAUGCAAGUCGAACGGAAAGGCCCUGCUUUUGUGGGGUGCUCGAGUGGCGAACGGGUGAGUAACACGUGAGUAACCUGCCCUUGACUUUGGGAUAACUUCAGGAAACUGGGGCUAAUACCGGAUAGGAGCUCCUGCUGCAUGGUGGGGGUUGGAAAGUUUCGGCGGUUGGGGAUGGACUCGCGGCUUAUCAGCUUGUUGGUGGGGUAGUGGCUUACCAAGGCUUUGACGGGUAGCCGGCCUGAGAGGGUGACCGGCCACAUUGGGACUGAGAUACGGCCCAGAGUCCUACGGGAGGCAGCAGUGGGGAAUAUUGCGCAAUGGGCGGAAGCCUGAUGCAGCAACGCCGCGUGCGGGAUGACGGCCUUCGGGUUGUAAACCGCUUUCGCCUGUGACGAAGCGUGAGUGACGGUAAUGGGUAAAGAAGCACCGGCUAACUACGUG